rnacentral:rRNA from 1 species
UGGAGCUGAAAUCAGUCGAAGAUACCAGCUGGCUGCAACUGUUUAUUAAAAACACAGCACUGUGCAAACACGAAAGUGGACGUAUACGGUGUGACGCCUGCCCGGUGCCGGAAGGUUAAUUGAUGGGGUUAUCCGUAAGGAGAAGCUCUUGAUCGAAGCCCCGGUAAACGGCGGCCGUAACUAUAACGGUCCUAAGGUAGCGAAAUUCCUUGUCGGGUAAGUUCCGACCUGCACGAAUGGCGUAAUGAUGGCCAGGCUGUCUCCACCCGAGACUCAGUGAAAUUGAACUCGCUGUGAAGAUGCAGUGUACCCGCGGCAAGACGGAAAGACCCCGUGAACCUUUACUAUAGCUUGACACUGAACACUGGUCCUUGAUGUGUAGGAUAGGUGGGAGGCUUUGAAGUGUGGACGCCAGUCUGCAUGGAGCCAACCUUGAAAUACCACCCUUUAAUGGCUGGUGUUCUAACGUGGACCCGUGAUCCGGGUUGCGGACAGUGUCUGGUGGGUAGUUUGACUGGGGCGGUCUCCUCCUAAAGAGUAACGGAGGAGCACGAAGGUUAGCUAAUCCUGGUCGGACAUCAGGAGGUUAGUGCAAAGGCAUAAGCUAGCUUGACUGCGAGAGUGACGGCUCGAGCAGGUGCGAAAGCAGGUCUUAGUGAUCCGGUGGUUCUGAAUGGAAGGGCCAUCGCUCAACGGAUAAAAGGUACUCCGGGGAUAACAGGCUGAUACCGCCCAAGAGUUCAUAUCGACGGCGGUGUUUGGCACCUCGAUGUCGGCUCAUCACAUCCUGGGGCUGAAGUAGGUCCCAAGGGUAUGGCUGUUCGCCAUUUAAAGUGGUACGCGAGCUGGGUUUAGAACGUCGUGAGACAGUUCGGUCCCUAUCUGCCGUGGGCGCUGGAGAAUUGAGGGGGGCUGCUCCUAGUACGAGAGGACCGGAGUGGACGCAUCACUGGUGUUCGGGUUGUCAUGCCAAUGGCAUUGCCCGGUAGCUAAAUGCGGAAGAGAUAAGUGCUGAAAGCAUCUAAGCACGAAACUUGCCCCGAGAUGAGUUCUCCCUGAGACUAUAAGUCUCCUGAAGGAACGUU